rnacentral:rRNA from 1 species
UACAGAGGGGGCAAGCGUUAUUCGGAAUUAUUGGGCGUAAAGGGCGCGUAGGUGGCAAAGCAAGUGGAAGGUGAAAUCCCUCGGCUCAACUGAGGAACUGCCUUCCAGACUGCUGUGCUUGAGGCCGGGAGAGGCGAGUGGAAUUCCCAGUGUAGCGGUGAAAUGCGUAGAUAUUGGGAGGAACACCAGUGGCGAAGGCGACUCGCUGGACCGGUUCUGACGCUGAGGCGCGAAGGCCAGGGGAGCAAACGGG